UUAAGCGACUAAGCGUACACGGUGGAUGCCCUGGCAGUCAGAGGCGAUGAAGGACGUGCUAAUCUGCGAAAAGCGCCGGCGAGGUGAUAUGAACCUUUGACCCGGCGAUGUCCGAAUGGGGAAACCCAGUGUGAUUCGUCACACUAUCGUUAACUGAAUACAUAGGUUAACGAGGCGAACCGGGGGAACUGAAACAUCUAAGUACCCCGAGGAAAAGAAAUCAACCGAGAUUCCCCCAGUAGCGGCGAGCGAACGGGGAGCAGCCCAGAGUCUGAAUCAGCUUGUGUGUUAGUGGAAGCGUCUGGAAAGUCGCACGGUACAGGGUGACAGUCCCGUACACGAAAGCACACAGGUUGUGAACUCGAAGAGUAGGGCGGGACACGUGGUAUCCUGUCUGAAUAUGGGGGGACCAUCCUCCAAGGCUAAAUACUCCUGACUGACCGAUAGUGAACCAGUACCGUGAGGGAAAGGCGAAAAGAACCCCGGCGAGGGGAGUGAAAAAGAACCUGAAACCGUGUACGUACAAGCAGUGGGAGCACCUUCGUGGUGUGACUGCGUACCUUUUGUAUAAUGGGUCAGCGACUUAUAUUCUGUAGCAAGGUUAACCGUAUAGGGGAGCCGAAGGGAAACCGAGUCUUAACUGGGCGUUAAGUUGCAGGGUAUAGACCCGAAACCCGGUGAUCUAGCCAUGGGCAGGUUGAAGGUUGGGUAACACUAACUGGAGGACCGAACCGACUAAUGUUGAAAAAUUAGCGGAUGACUUGUGGCUGGGGGUGAAAGGCCAAUCAAACCGGGAGAUAGCUGGUUCUCCCCGAAAGCUAUUUAGGUAGCGCCUCGUGAACUCAUCUUCGGGGGUAGAGCACUGUUUCGGCUAGGGGGCCAUCCCGGCUUACCAACCCGAUGCAAACUACGAAUACCGAAGAAUGUUAUCACGGGAGACACACGGCGGGUGCUAACGUCCGUCGUGAAGAGGGAAACAACCCAGACCGCCAGCUAAGGUCCCAAAGUCAUGGUUAAGUGGGAAACGAUGUGGGAAGGCACAGACAGCCAGGAUGUUGGCUUAGAAGCAGCCAUCAUUUAAAGAAAGCGUAAUAGCUCACUGGUCGAGUCGGCCUGCGCGGAAGAUGUAACGGGGCUAAACCAUGCACCGAAGCUGCGGCAGCGACACUAUGUGUUGUUGGGUAGGGGAGCGUUCUGUAAGCCGUUGAAGGUGGCCUGUGAGGGUUGCUGGAGGUAUCAGAAGUGCGAAUGCUGACAUAAGUAACGAUAAAGCGGGUGAAAAGCCCGCUCGCCGGAAGACCAAGGGUUCCUGUCCAACGUUAAUCGGGGCAGGGUGAGUCGACCCCUAAGGCGAGGCCGAAAGGCGUAGUCGAUGGGAAACAGGUUAAUAUUCCUGUACUUGGUGUUACUGCGAAGGGGGGACGGAGAAGGCUAUGUUAGCCGGGCGACGGUUGUCCCGGUUUAAGCAUGUAGGCGGANUUAUUAACGCUGAGGUGUGAUGACGAGGCACUACGGUGCUGAAGUAACAAAUGCCCUGCUUCCAGGAAAAGCCUCUAAGCAUCAGGUAACAUCAAAUCGUACCCCAAACCGACACAGGUGGUCAGGUAGAGAAUACCAAGGCGCUUGAGAGAACUCGGGUGAAGGAACUAGGCAAAAUGGUGCCGUAACUUCGGGAGAAGGCACGCUGAUAUGUAGGUGAAGCCCCUGCGGGUGGAGCUGAAAUCAGUCGAAGAUACCAGCUGGCUGCAACUGUUUAUUAAAAACACAGCACUGUGCAAACACGAAAGUGGACGUAUACGGUGUGACGCCUGCCCGGUGCCGGAAGGUUAAUUGAUGGGGUUAGCGGCAACGCGAAGCUCUUGAUCGAAGCCCCGGUAAACGGCGGCCGUAACUAUAACGGUCCUAAGGUAGCGAAAUUCCUUGUCGGGUAAGUUCCGACCUGCACGAAUGGCGUAAUGAUGGCCAGGCUGUCUCCACCCGAGACUCAGUGAAAUUGAACUCGCUGUGAAGAUGCAGUGUACCCGCGGCAAGACGGAAAGACCCCGUGAACCUUUACUAUAGCUUGACACUGAACACUGGUCCUUGAUGUGUAGGAUAGGUGGGAGGCUUUGAAGUGUGGACGCCAGUCUGCAUGGAGCCGUCCUUGAAAUACCACCCUUUAAUGGCUGGUGUUCUAACGUAGACCCGUAAUCCGGGUUGCGGACAGUGUCUGGUGGGUAGUUUGACUGGGGCGGUCUCCUCCCAAAGAGUAACGGAGGAGCACGAAGGUUAGCUAAUCCUGGUCGGACAUCAGGAGGUUAGUGCAAUGGCAUAAGCUAGCUUGACUGCGAGAGUGACGGCUCGAGCAGGUGCGAAAGCAGGUCAUAGUGAUCCGGUGGUUCUGAAUGGAAGGGCCAUCGCUCAACGGAUAAAAGGUACUCCGGGGAUAACAGGCUGAUACCGCCCAAGAGUUCAUAUCGACGGCGGUGUUUGGCACCUCGAUGUCGGCUCAUCACAUCCUGGGGCUGAAGUAGGUCCCAAGGGUAUGGCUGUUCGCCAUUUAAAGUGGUACGCGAGCUGGGUUUAGAACGUCGUGAGACAGUUCGGUCCCUAUCUGCCGUGGGCGCUGGAGAAUUGAGGGGGGCUGCUCCUAGUACGAGAGGACCGGAGUGGACGCAUCACUGGUGUUCGGGUUGUCAUGCCAAUGGCACUGCCCGGUAGCUAAAUGCGGAAAAGAUAAGUGCUGAAAGCAUCUAAGCACGAAACUUGCCCCGAGAUGAGUUCUCCCUGAGACUUUAAGUCUCCUGAAGGAACGUUGAAGACGACGACGUUGAUAGGUCGGGUGUGUAAGCGCAGCGAUGCGUUGAGCUAACCGAUACUAAUGAAACCGUGAGGCUUAACCUU
rnacentral:rRNA from 1 species